rnacentral:rRNA from 1 species
CCUACGGGAGGCAGCAGUGGGGAAUAUUGCGCAAUGGGCGAAAGCCUGACGCAGCGACGCCGCGUGAGGGAUGAAGGUCUUCGGAUCGUAAACCUCUGUCAGCAGGGAAGUACGGUCACUGUGCUAAUCAGCAGUGAAUUGACGGUACCUGCAAAGGAAGCCUCGGCUAACUCCGUGCCAGCAGCCGCGGUAAUACGGAGGGUGCGAGCGUUAAUCGGAGUUACUGGGCGUAAAGCGCUCGUAGGCGGUAUGUCAAGUCAAGGGUGAAAUCCCCGCGCUCAACGUGGGAACUGCCUUUGAAACUGGCAAACUGGAGUGUGUGAGAGGAUAGUGGAAUUCCAGGUGUAGGAGUGAAAUGCGUAGAUAUCUGGAGGAACAUCAGUGGCGAAGGCGACUAUCUGGCACAUAACUGACGCUGAGGAGCGAAAGCGUGGGUAGCAAACAGGAUGAGAUACCCGUGUAGUC